rnacentral:pre_miRNA from 1 species
CCUGCGCCGGUGGGGUCCCUCGGCCUGGCCUGUGCCCUCUUGCAAUCCAGGACCCCUUGCAGGAAGUUGGAGAGCCAGUUUCAGCCCGAUCCCGCAGGCCAGGCUGAGGGACCCCACUGGUGCACA